ACAAGUUUUUGCUAUAUACCCGAGUCUGUUGGACAUGUCUUUUUUUAGUAGUUACAUAUGGGGACUCCACACAGCAAGCCAACGGAACAGACGACUUCAUCACAUGUACCUCCAGUCCCGAUGGAGGGGACAAGUGUUGACGACUCUAACGAAGGGAUUAUACCCGUAGCCGAUGAUGUUGACAAAAUUUACCCAUGUAGUCCAGGCAUAAGGAGUCCAUAUUACUCCCUCCGAACGGAUGAUACUUGAGACCGAUGGUGAUAGCACAUAUGAUACUCCAGGCCUGAUGGAGGGGCCAAAUGGUGACGACUCUAACGAAGGGGUUAUACCUGGAGUCGACGAUGUUCACAAGAAUUACCCAAGUAGUCCAGGAGCCCAUAUUACUCACUCGGACUGGAUGUUUCUUGAACAGGCCAUUGUGAAAGGACAUAUGUUCAUCAACCUUCCCAUCUGAUUUCGGAGAUAAAAAGUGAUGGCUUUCAAUGAUGUUUUAGAAAUAUCAUGCACAUCAGCACUGACGUAACGAUGACGGGUUGAAUUGAGACACAACGAGAAGAGGACAUGGGAGAGAUAAAGAUGUAUUCUAGCGACGUUGAAAAAGAAUACAUCGACAAGGGUUCUGAGACGAUGUCGUUGGAAGGGGACGAAAGGUUUCGAAGUUUUUUACAACACAAUGACAUUGAAAUUGCAGG